rnacentral:snoRNA from 1 species
AUUCCGUGGUGAGGGCACUCCCUUUGGUAUUCCUUAAAUCGAUCCCAAGCCUCUAAUAGGGAUUCAACACUCUUUUGCUCGAAGGAUUGAAUUUUGUGCCU